UUAAAAAGUUAAUUGUUCAAUCAAUUUAGUUUGAAUUUUAAAUAUUAUUAUAAUUUUUAAUAUUUUAGAGGUUAAAAAAAAUAAUUUAAUUUUUAUUAUUGUAAUAUGAAAAAAUUAUUAUUAUUAUAGUUUAUAGUAUUGUGAAAGAAUUUUUUUAAUUAAUUAAAAGAAGAAUUUAUUUUUUGUACCUUGUGUAUCAGGGUUUAUUAAAAUUUUUUAAAUAUUUAUAAUUCUCGAAUUUAAAAGAGUUAAAAAAUUAUUUUUAUUGAUGUAGAAUAAUUAUAUAAAAUAAUUUUUUAGUAGUGAAAUGUUAUUCGUUUUUAAAUAUAUCUAGUUUUUUAAGAAAAAAAUUUAAUUUUAUUAUUAUUAAUAUAAUUUUUACUUAUUAAUAUUAUAUUUUUAAUAGUUUAUAUUUUUAGGGAUUAGCUUAAAAAUAAAAUUUUAUUAAAAUAAGAAUUAAUUAAUUUUUUAGGAUUAGAAAUUUUCAUAAUUUUAAGUAUGUUAUAAUUUAAUUUAAAAAUAUUUUUAUUUUUAUUUUGUAUAAAUAGUUUAUUAAAAUUUAAAUUUUAAUUUAAUAAAUUUAGUAAUAAUGAUAAAAUUAGUAUAAAUUUAUUGAAAAAUUAUUAAAUUAUUUUAUGUUAAUUAAAGGAAUUCGGCAAAUUAAUUUUCACCUGUUUAAUAAAAACAUGUCUUUUUGGUAUUAAUUUAAGGUUUAACCUGCCCGAUGAAAUUUGAAUGGCCGCGGUAUUUUGACUGUGCUAAGGUAGCAUAAUCAUUAGUUUUUUAAUUGAAAGCUGGAAUGAAGGGUUGGAUGAAAAAUUAACUGUCUCUAAUUAAAUUUAUUAGAAUUUUAUUUUUAAGUUAAAAAGCUUAAAUAUAUUUAAAAGACGAGAAGACCCUAUAGAGUUUAAUAUAUCUAAUUUAUUUUUAUUUAGAAUUUAUUUUUUUUAAUAAUGAUGUAUUUAAUUGGGGUGAUUAAAAAAUUUAAUAAACUUUUUUUAUAAAUUUAUAUUGAUUAAUAAAUUAAUGAUCCAAAUAUUUUGAUUAAAAGAUAAAUUACCUUAGGGAUAACAGCGUAAUUUUAUUAAAGAGUUCAAAUCGAAAAUAAAGUUUGCGACCUCGAUGUUGGAUUAAAAUUUAUAUUUGGUGUAGAAGCUAAAUAAUUUAAGUCUGUUCGACUUUUAAAAUUUUACAUGAUCUGAGUUUAAACCGGUGUAAGCCAGGUUGGUUUCUAUCUUUAAAAAAUUGAAAUAUUUUAGUACGAAAGGACCAAAUAUU
rnacentral:rRNA from 1 species